CUACGGGCCGCACCAGUGGGGAAUAUUGCACAAUGGAGGAAACUCUGAUGCAGCAACGCCGCGUGGAGGAUGACACUUUUCGGAGCGUAAACUCCUUUUAUAUAGGAAGAAGAUGACGGUACUAUAUGAAUAAGCGCCGGCUAACUCCGUGCCAGCAGCCGCGGUAAUACGGAGGGCGCAAGCGUUACUCGGAAUCGCUGGGCGUAAAGAGCGUGUAGGCGGAUUAAAAAGUCAGAAGUGAAAUCCUAUAGCUUAACUAUAGAACUGCUUCUGAAACUCUUAAUCUAGAAUAUGGGAGAGGUAGAUGGAAUUUCUGGUGUAGGGGUAAAAUCCGUAGAGAUCAGAAGGAAUACCGAUUGCGAAGGCGAUCUACUAGAACAUUAUUGACGCUGAGACGCGAAAGCGUGGGGAGCAAACAGGGUUAGAUACCCCCGUAGUC
rnacentral:rRNA from 1 species